UACGAAGGGGGCUAGCGUUGUUCGGAAUUACUGGGCGUAAAGCGCACGUAGGCGAAUCGAUCAGUCAGGGGUGAAAUCCCAGGGCUCAACCCUGGAACUGCCUUUGAUACUGUCGAUCUGGAGUAUGGAAGAGGUGAGUGGAAUUCCGGGUGGAGUGGUGAAAUGCGUAGAGAUCCGGAAGAACACCAAAGGCGAAGGCACCAUCCUGGGGAGUCACUGACGCUCGGGUGCGAAAGCCAGGGGAGCGAACGGG
rnacentral:rRNA from 1 species